GUAACUGCCCAUUGAGCGUAACAGGUUGACGAAAAUCCUCAUUCUGGAAUCGCGUAAUGUCUCGCGAGAUCAUAGGCCGGAAGUACCUGAGUAAAGUGGACGGUCGACGAUUAGGCCUACAGAAUCGCAGUUUGUAAUCUUCGUCAGCACAACAGUAGAAUGAUUAUGAAGCCGAGGAAGAAGGGUGCAAUCCUUUGUCCUGGAUCUCAUGAAGAAGACCUGCAAGUUACGCGUAUUCUCCUGAACAAGCCAGCGGCUUAUUCCUCCGAACUGCGGACUGAAUCGCGGACUCUAUGAGAGACACGCCCUGGGAAACCACCUCCGUCGCCGUAGAAACGGCCCUGCUGGCCGGUCUCUGAUGCAGCGUCGCUUUGUGAAGGAAAGAGGCCGACGAAGACGAGCCUCGUGCGCUUGUGACGGACACACCGCUCUGAAGGCCCGCCCUCUUUGUAGAGUGACAGCAGAAUUUGCCGGUCUAGCUUCUGCUGAGCUGAGAGCGUUCUUCACUGCACUGGACCAGUAAUCGCCAUGGUUUCGGGCCUGCACUGGACCUGUAAUCGCCAUGGUUUCGGGCCUGUGGUGGACCAGUAAUCGCCAUGGUUUCGGGCCUGUGGUGGACCAGUAAUCGCCAUGGUUUCGGGCCUGUGGUGGACCAGUAAUCGCCAUGGUUUCGGGCCUGUGGUGGACCAGUAAUCGCCAUGGUUUCUGCGGCUGCACUGGACCAGUAAUCGCCAUGGUUUCAGGCCUGCACUGGACCUGUAAUCGCCAUGGUUUCGGGCCUGUGGUGGACCAGUAAUCGCCAUGGUUUCGGGCCUGUGGUGGA